CCUUUUAUAAUUUAUAAUAAGAAUAUUGUAUUGAAGAUACAAAUGAGAGUUAUUUACUCUAUAAGGG
rnacentral:tRNA from 1 species